AUGCGCAUGCCGGUGCUCGUGUUCGCGCUCUUCAACGAGAACGUCAAGGGCGGCCCCGGCACAGAGCGGCACUGGGGCCUCUUCUACCCCAACGGCAGUGCGGUGUACGAGGUCGACCUGACGGGGCGCCGGCCGGCGGCGCCGUACCCUCCGCUGCCGCCGGCCACGAACGACCUGCCGUACCCCGGGAAGCUGUGGUGCGUGGCGAGGACGGACCGCCACGGGGCGGUGGCGAACGAAACGGCGGUGAGGGAGCAGGUGGCGACGGCGUGCGCGGACGAGGCCGGGCUGUGCGACCCCGUGCGGCCCAGCGGCGGGUGCCACCUGCCGGACACGGUGGCCGCGCACGCGAGCUACGUGUUCAGCGCGCACUGGAACAGGUUCAGCAAGCAGUACGGCGGGUGGUGCUACUUCGGCGGCCUAGCCGUGGAGACGACCGUCGAUCCCAGUCAUGGAUCGUGUAAAUUUCCCAGCGUUACACCAGGCUGA
rnacentral:rRNA from 1 species